CCUAUAGAAACCUCGCCAGGUGUACAGAGCUCUAGGCAAAGCAAUGACAUCAAUGACGCAAAUGACCAAGUUGAUGCCGAUUCAGAGGGUCAUACAAUUGAAGGAGAACCAGUUGGUGACUUUGUUCCUGCGCCCCGAAAGGAAGUCCGCAAGAAAACCAUAGGGCUUGGCUUAGAGAAGAUGAUAAAGAGAGGAAACAAGCUGCCUAUCCAAGUGGCUGAAGGGAAGAAAAGACCUGAUGUCCCACUUCAAGCAGCGAAGCUGGCAUCAGAAACUGGUGUAGCUCUUAGAGACAAGCUGCCUAUCUACACAUCUUGGAAGCUUUAUGAAAAAGAUGGGGGGCCAGUAGAAGUACAAAAAGUGCUUGAUAAAGUGGCGAAUAGGUUGGAUGUGGAUGUUAAGAAUGAUGGACCAAGCAAAUCUGCAUGCACUGAUAUCAUUAAGAAGGGAGUAAAGUAGCAGAGGUAUCACCUAAAAAGGAAGUACUUCGACGAGUCCCUCACAAUGGAACAGCUGUUGGCCAAAGAACCUCCACCUAAAAUGAAGACAGAGGAGUGGAUCGAGCUCGUAAAGUACUGGUGUGACCCAAAGAAUCAGGAGAAAUCUGCGAAGAAUAAAGUAAACCGAUCCAAGGUGCAGCUUCACCAAAAAACUGGUUCUAGGUCCUACAUAGCCUAUCGAUACAGCCUGGUAAUACUAUUGCUUUCACUUUGGGGCACUUUUGGGGUGCUUUUCGGUUGUAUGUUCAACAUCUUUAAGCUCCUGUUAUGUUGCAAAGGAAAAUGUAGUUCAUGGCUAUUUGUAGUGUUUUUCCUCUACUGAAUAGCUAUUUGUAGUGUUUUUCCUUUUGGAAUUUAUUUGCACAGGGAAACUGAGAAAGAUGGAUGAAAAGGGCAAGGCUCUUUCUGAUACUAAA